UUGGUUUUGCCUUCAUAUGUGCUUCACUUUGUAGAAUUAUCAAGUGUUGAGCCUUCUCAUGUAUUGUUCUAGGCUUCUAGCAAAUGAUCUGCUAUGUAAAUUUAGCUCCUCAAAUCUUGCCACUUCAUUUUCUUACUCCUGUUAUUAUUUAUUUAUUUUUUUAGCUUGUUUGAAAUGUUUAAAUCAUGACUCCAGAAGCAAGCUUCUGUAGCAAUAUUUGUAAAUGACUUGUUAUGAAGCUGACAUUCAUGCUGAAAUUAACAUUAUUCUUUUCUGAAAUAUAGACAUGGAGUUCAGAUUUAUGCCUCCUGAAUUUGGUAUUUGAGAAAUUCUGUGCUGGAAUAUUGAACAUUCUAUAUGAUAUUAUUCUCCAUAACAUCAUUAUUGUUUGUAUUGGAAAUGAAAGGGAGUUCUUUGAACAGUCAAUUUUUUUUCUCAACAUGAUUGAUGGUUUUGCUUUAGCUGAUUCAGAAAACUAUAAGAGCAUUCAUAACAUAGAGGAGAAGACAAUACUGACAGAGAGAGUCAUAAAAUCAGCUGCAACUGUGGACAGAUUAUUACAUCCAGUGGGAAAUGAAGGAAGAACUCAUGCCGAACUUUUCAGAAUUUGCUUCUUACAAUAAAUAAUCACCUAUAAUUGGGGCAGACGUCAGACUCAAAAACAAAUUGAAAAAAUUGGAUCAGAAGAAGACCAUUGAUGCUGGGAAUUUUGAGGGUACAAUCGCACUGAUCAAGGAAAGGUCAGAGGAAGAUGUCUAUUACCCAGUUGGGGUUCAAGGUGUUGGGUUUAGGCCUAUGAAACAUUGUCAUAAACACAGCAUCAAUACCCUUCCCUUGGUUCAUUGUAUGUUUAUCUGUUUUAGCAACAAAUUGAUACAAUUUUUUUUUUUGGUAUUUGUUUUAGCAAACCAAAUUGGUGAGUACUAAUGGUGCUCAGUAUAGUAAGUAAUCACUCUGAGGGAAGUAUUAGUGGGGAAAUACUUUGACCACUGAGCAGUUAGCAUUGUGUUUGAUUUGAUCAUGUGGGUCAUCAAAGAACAUGAAACCGUAUAAGAUACUGAUGGUCUUUAGUCUAAUUGAUUAAUUGUCUGAUCUGGUGAUU